rfam:Garciella nitratireducens DSM 15102 genome assembly, contig: BP36DRAFT_scaffold00002.2
GGGGACGUACUGGUUUCGACGGGGGUGUUGAAGCUAGAGUAGCGAGUAGUGGAUUCCGGGACCACUAUAAAACCUGGAAUUUAAAUAUAAACGCUAAAAACGAUAAUUUAGCUUUAGCUGCGUAAGUCAGCUAACGUCCUACCAAUCAUUCCCGCAUGAUUGGAUAGGGCGCCGAUUUAGCGGGGAACUACUAAUCCAAAGCUUUGAGGAUUAGUGGAAUUUAUGAAGCUAGCGUAGCCUAAAUCUUGUCAGUUAGAGUUAGGUGAGGCGAAUCUUAAAAAACUGACUGCACUCGGAGAAUCUCUAGUGGAUAUGCCUCCGGACAGGGGUUCAACUCCCCUCGUCUCCACCA